rnacentral:rRNA from 1 species
UGGGGAAUCUUAGACAAUGGGCGCAAGCCUGAUCUAGCCAUGCCGCGUGGGUGAUGAAGGCCUUAGGGUCGUAAAGCCCUUUCGCCGGGGAAGAUAAUGACGGUACCCGGUAAAGAAACCCCGGCUAACUCCGUGCCAGCAGCCGCGGUAAUACGGAGGGGGUUAGCGUUGUUCGGAAUGACUGGGCGUAAAGCGCGCGUAGGCGGGCUGGAAAGUUGGGGGUGAAAUCCCGGGGCUCAACCCCGGAAUGGCCUUCAAAACUCCCAGCCUAGAGUUCGAGAGAGGUGAGUGGAAUUCCGAGUGUAGAGGUGAAAUUCGUAGAUAUUCGGAGGAACACCAGUGGCGAAGGCGGCUCACUGGCUCGACACUGACGCUGAGGUGCGAAAGCGUGGGGAGCAAA